rnacentral:lncRNA from 1 species
GUCGAUUUAGUAAGUUUUUCGUUUUUAAAUCGGGUUUCGAACCGAUUUAAAAUAUUUUAUUAAAUCUGGUUGCCCGAUUUCAAAGAGUUUAUUAAAUCGGUUUGCCCGAUUUAAAAAAUGUUAAAAAAGUCAUUGGAAGUUUUUAAAUCUAUUUGAUCCGAUUUAAAAUCCAAAAUUAAAUCGACUGAACCGAUUUAGAAAACGUUAUUUUAAAUCGGUUCAUAACUCACCCGAUUUAAAUUAUAUUAAUUUUUUUCUUCUACUAUUGUUUCUCGAGGACCAUACACCAAAAUUUAUUUAAUCCAAAAAUCCAAAAUCAUCCAUUAAUAACAUAAAGUUACAAAAUUAUACUUCUACACUAAAAUCAUUAUACUAUAAUAAUAGAGUAUCAUACACCUAAUAGCAUAAAUUAUACUUGUAUAUACUAAAAUCAUUCCAUAAAGUUAAAAUCAUAUACCUAGAAUUAUCAAUUAUCAAUUAUAAACCAUAAAAGUUACAAAUUUAUACUUGUAACCUCGAUUCCUUCUAUUUGUAUGCUUAACUUUGUCUCCUCCUUUAACAGUUAACUCAUAAGUUGGUUUCGGGAGACCAUUCUUAAAUCGCUGGGUUGAAUCAAUCCUCUCCAUA